AUGCAGUCGAGCGGAACGAGUUAUCUGAACCUUCGGGGGACGAUAACGGCGUCGAGCGGCGGACGGGUGAGUAAUGCCUAGGAAAUUGCCCUGAUGUGGGGGAUAACCAUUGGAAACGAUGGCUAAUACCGCAUGAUGCCUACGGGCCAAAGAGGGGGACCUUCGGGCCUCUCGCGUCAGGAUAUGCCUAGGUGGGAUUAGCUAGUUGGUGAGGUAAGGGCUCACCAAGGCGACGAUCCCUAGCUGGUCUGAGAGGAUGAUCAGCCACACUGGAACUGAGACACGGUCCAGACUCCUACGGGAGGCAGCAGUGGGGAAUAUUGCACAAUGGGCGCAAGCCUGAUGCAGCCAUGCCGCGUGUGUGAAGAAGGCCUUCGGGUUGUAAAGCACUUUCAGUCGUGAGGAAGGUGGUGUAGUUAAUAGCUGCAUUAUUUGACGUUAGCGACAGAAGAAGCACCGGCUAACUCCGUGCCAGCAGCCGCGGUAAUACGGAGGGUGCGAGCGUUAAUCGGAAUUACUGGGCGUAAAGCGCAUGCAGGUGGUUUGUUAAGUCAGAUGUGAAAGCCCGGGGCUCAACCUCGGAAUAGCAUUUGAAACUGGCAGACUAGAGUACUGUAGAGGGGGGUAGAAUUUCAGGUGUAGCGGUGAAAUGCGUAGAGAUCUGAAGGAAUACCGGUGGCGAAGGCGGCCCCCUGGACAGAUACUGACACUCAGAUGCGAAAGCGUGGGGAGCAAACAGGAUUAGAUACCCUGGUAGUCCACGCCGUAAACGAUGUCUACUUGGAGGUUGUGGCCUUGAGCCGUGGCUUUCGGAGCUAACGCGUUAAGUAGACCGCCUGGGGAGUACGGUCGCAAGAUUAAAACUCAAUGAAUUGACGGGGGCCCGCACAAGCGGUGAGCAUGGGGGUUUAUUCGAUGCACGCGA
rnacentral:rRNA from 1 species